CCUACGGGUGGCAGCAGUGGGGGAUAUUGCACAAUGGGGGGAACCCUGAUGCAGCGACGCCGCGUGGGGGAAGGAGUGCUUAGGCAUGUUAAGCCUCAUCGGCCGGGAAGAAGCAAGACGGUACCUGACUAAGAAGCCCCGGCCUACUACGUGCAAGCAGCCGCGGUAAUUCGUAGGGGGCGAGCGUUAUCCGGAUUCACUGGGGGUAAAGGGAUCGUAAGGGGUCAUGCAAGCCGGGGGGGAAAGCACGGGGGCCAACCCCGGUAGUGCCCUUGAAACUGCAUGGCUGGAGUGGGGGAGGGGUAGGCGGAAUGCCUGGUGUAGCGGUGAAAUGCGUAGAUAUCAGGCGGAACACCGGCUGCGAAGGCGGCCUGCUGG
rnacentral:rRNA from 1 species